CAAGGCUAAACCAAAAUGGUGCGCAUGGAAACGGAAAAUCGCUUAAAAAAAGCUGAAUCAAAUUGGGGAAAACGACUUUUGCAAAUGCUAAAGUCCGGUCGUGUUUUGGAUCAUCGUGCUUCGUCGCUCGUUGUCACGCCUCACCGUCAUCAUCAUCACGUCUCAAGGAUUUUGUUCGAUUCUAUCUUCAUCAUGUUCAUACUUUUUGACGCAUACGUUCAUCAGUCGCGGUGGAGAGGAAUUCGUCGAUUGCUUUCUUGAAAUAAGUCACACCGGAAACGCUGCGACUCAGGUUUCAAUGCCCUCCAAUGCUGUUAAGCUCGGAAUUCGUUCAAAACGUGAUAUCGACGGAAGAAAAUCAAAGGAAAUGCGUCAAUAAGUUAGCUCGAAGCACUCACCGGAAAGAUGUCGACUUCACAGGUGCAGGGCAGAUUUGAGUUUGCUGCAGAAUUGUGCCAGGAUUUGUGCUGCUAUCAAGCUUGUUUUAUGCACUACCAUUGUGAAGGUGAGGGAAUUGCUCCUGCCAUAACUUGUUAUUCCAUUGUUUAUUGGGAUGUUUGGACUGCUGUCUGAUGUCGCCAUACUAUGUGAAUUGAUUGAUUAAUCAAGUUGGCUUGAGUUAGUUUUUGGAACGUUAGCCGUUGAUGUUGUUACUUGAAAUUAGGAGUUUGUUUAUUCUGUUUUUGUGCAGGUUAGUAUUUAAUUUAUGGGUAAUGCUAACUUGUGCCCCAAGGGCACAAGUUAAGAAACCCACAAAUGGAAAAAUUUUAUUGAAAAAAACAAUAGAAUCAUUAAUUAUGACUU